rnacentral:rRNA from 1 species
UACGAAGGGGGCUAGCGUUGUUCGGAAUUAUUGGGCGUAAAGGGCGUGUAGGCGGCUUGGCAAGUGGAGGUUGAAAUCCCUCGGCUUAACCGAGGAGCUGCCGUCCAAACUGCUUCGCUUGAGACCGGGAGAGGGGAGUGGAAUUCCCAGUGUAGCGGUGAAAUGCGUAGAUAUUGGGAGGAACACCAGUGGCGAAGGCGGCUCACUGGACCGGUACUGACGCUGAUGCGCGAAAGCGUGGGGAGCAAACAGG